rnacentral:lncRNA from 1 species
UCUUGUAAAUUAUGCAAGUUUUCGUAAACUUUAAUUACUACUGCUAUAUAUAUAUUUUUAUUUAAAAAAAUCAUCAAUUUAUUAUUUUAGGAUCUCCAAAAUCAAUCAUAGACUACUCCCUCCGUUCAAUCUGAUUGGAAUAAAGUGAUAAUAAUAAUAAGUACAUCCGUAUAAGUAUUACAUUAAUAAAUAAACUCUCCCAUCUUUAAAGAUCGCUCUUAGUUCUUGAAUUACAAAACUACUUGCUCAUGAUGAAAAAAACAACCUACUAAAUUUAAUAAUUUAAUAUGGAACCACGUGAUUUAUCCCCACUUUAUAUAAUGUAUAAUAUACUUACUUAUUACUGAUGAAAUUUCC